GGUGGCAGCCCCGAGGCGCUGGGUGUGCGGCGGCCGGGCAGCAAUAACCAGUGAUGAGGUGUCCUGGAGAUCAGAUGAGGAGAUAUGAGGAGCCAGAAAGCAUUUCUGAGCAUUCAAGUGUCGUAAUCAUGUUACUGCUCCUUGAGCUCAGCUGACACAAGGAGACAGGUAAACAUCUCCCACUGCCCAGGUAAGUGACAGUGCAUAAAUCUUCAGAACACCCUGAGGAAUAACAAGUCUUUUGCAACUUUGCCUUUGAAGGAGUUAGGCUUGCACGAUGGAUGGCAGCGGCGCCCAGCCGUAUUCGGAGGCAUAGCACAGCUCCCAACUCCCUUGCAGAGGUUUUAUCCUCAGCUGGAGGGAGGGUACAGCAAGCUGUGCGUCAGCACCGACUCUUGCAGCUGUAGUAACUUGUCAUUUCCUUUCCAAACACUAGCACCCUCAGCAAGGCAGUUGGCCUUGGGCCAAAAGCCAUUCCUGUAGUGUCUGUUCCUGCUAUGUACAUACUUGCCUGAUUCCCCAUGUGGGUUUCCCCACAACCAGUGCCACGUAUCUGUGUGUUGUCAGUGUGGUGACUUUGGGAGCAGCCUCUUCCAUUAUCAAGCCUUAGAGUGAGUUUACCUGAGAGUGUGUCCCUCUUCAGGGGAGCAAAGUGAUGCUUUUCUCUGCUCGUGCUGAAUCAUUUUUACCUGGCAAGGGUUUGGGAACUGUGAGGUCAUAUUUUAUUGUAGCAUAUUACAGCUGCAGAAAAGGUAUUGGAUUCUGGGUUUAUAUCAGAAGACUAAUUCUUGAUCAGGAUCAUAAAAUAUUUAGGUCUAGAACUUUGCCUUCACAGCUCUUUGUAAAGUAAUUGCUCUAGUAGUAGUGGCAAAAGAAAGGACAUGCUCAUUUAUGAUGCUUUAAAUCAGGCAAAUCAUUUCCGAAGACAAAUAACAAAACUGUAGCAGAGAGCUCUGGUGCAGGGCUCCUUCUUGGAUUGUAAACACUGCAAGACAGAAACCAUCAAUAUUUACACAGUACUCAGCCCAGCACAGUGCAGCUUCUCUGGCUGGGCCUUUGGAGGCACUAAUAGGAAUAUUAAAUCAUGCUGAAUACCUUCUUGCAAUAUUUACAGUUUAACCAUAACUAAGCGGGUGUGUGUGCCGAAUACUGUGGAUUUUGAGCAUGCAGCACCAGAACCAGAAAACCUGUGAUGAGGCCAAGCCUUGUGAUAUCUUCCCCCUGCUCAUCACAGGUGUGCUGCAGUGGUCGGGACCCUUUCUGGUGCCCCCAAUAUUCAUCAGAAGCAACUUAGAAGGAUGAUGUGAGAGUGUGUUACUGUGUGAGCUGUCACCAGUUGUGCCAAGGACUGUGGAUUGAAAAGUCAGGGGAGGAAAAAAAAGCAUUAAAAAUACCAUUGCUAUGUUGCCCUGUGGGCUUACAGAAAUGUGACACAGAGAAGAAUUAGCCUUUUGCGGUUUCAUGUUUCCCUGACCUUUUAAGAGAGGAAGAAAAAAACAAAUCCAGCUUCUGCUCCCAGCUACAAUGCUGAAAGUCCAGAGCAAAUGUAAUACACUGGCUCCUCAGGUGCGAGAGCAGAGUUUCAUGUUGUCUAUUGAAAAGCAGAGAGAGAGCUGAGGUGUAAAGAUCAUUUAACAAAAGCCAUGUGAGUUCAAAGAUAAACCUCCAUCCCAGGCAAGUGUAAUUAUUGGUGUUUGAGUGUAAUUUUGGUGUUUAACCUGUUCUGGUGGGAUUUCUGCCUUGAUGUCAGUGUGAGGUAAAGCAGAAAACAUGUGGCUCCUUGAGCACGAUGCCCUUGUAUGUAUGAGCUUGGAAUGUGCCACAAGGGAGGACUCCUGGGCACCAGCACUGCAGCUGACAGCUCCUGGCAGUGGCAACCACUGCUGAUACAUGUGGCAGGGAUGCUGUGACAGCACCUGCAAUCACACCACUUGACACUUGGGAAGGCCUUGAACAGUUAGUGUUGAGCUUACACAUGCUACUUGAUAUGAAAACAGUUCCAGUUAAAAAUUAUUUCAGAAUUGUUGUUUUUGCUUAUGCAACUGUUGACAAACAAAACCUGCUUGGAUUAUACUUUAAUGGCAAACUCUGCAUGCUUCAACAGGUUCUCUUUGUUUUGGCUUGAUUUCUUGGUUUUAUUUCCCACCUUCCACUAAAGGAAAUUUUUAUCUCAGAAAGAGAAAAUACAGGAGGUGGGCUGCUUCCUACCUGAAAUCCCAGCAUUGCCUGGCAGAAGCUGAUAGACAUGAAUCAUCACAAUGAAUGCAAUACUGCACACAAGUAGCUUUUUUUUUACAAGCACAAGGUUGUUAAGCAAAGGAUGAGAAACACGUGGAGUACACUGCCGUUUGCUAAUGUAUGGCUGGGUUCCCAGGUCCGUGUACAUUCUUGCAGACAGGCUCCAGUUGUCAUGAUGCUAUUGCCAGGAAAGAUGUCAACAAAAGGAAACCUCUUGUCAGUUGAAGCAUUAGGUUAGUAAUACAAAAGAGUACUUCAUAGAGUCUUUCAGAUCGAUACACACCAGCUAUUUGUCAAAGAUGUUUUUCUCUUAUAUGUAGUCAUGCAGCCUCUUUGACAUAAGUCACCUUAUUUUUACAUUUUUUAAAUAACAGCAAUAUUUACUAUGUGGUGAAUCAAGGCAAUGAGCAAGAUCAUAGGAUCCUCUUGCAGAGGAUCAUGACUUAAAAUCUGUGUGUUUUAGGCAAAGCAUACCUGGGUUCAUUUGAAGACUGACACAUGGACAUGUUUCCAUUGAAGUUGUUACAGGUUUGUCUUUAUGUAUGCCUCCACUAAAUUUUACAGCUGACAAUUAGUCUGGGAUGAAGUCUGGUUUCUCUCCCAACACUGCAAAUGCAAUUGUGUAACUUCACUAAAAUUCCAAGCCUGGUUCUUAUGCUGGAUUGAAACAGUAGGUAGCGAGAUGAAGAGAGAAGUCACCCUUUCAAACUCUUCUUUCCCACUAUGACAGCUUACUUCAUGGAAGCAGCAGCAGCCAUCUGACCUGGAUUAUUUUUGGGUUGUGUUUAAUGCACACCACAUUCCCCUAGAGUUGCCACAGCUCCAAUAGCAAUGCCCUGCCCUGUGAAGGGCUUGCUGUUGCCCAGAGGCUUGCAUCUUCCUGCCCUCAGCUGGCUCCAUGAUACUGCCCUACGGCUGAUGCUACCUCUGAGGUUUGUGGAAAUUGAAGAAUUGUGGUCAUGGUGGCACUGAUGCACUAGGAAGGGAUGUCACAUAUUUAGAAACUAUUUACUGAAACAUGUUCUGAGGUAGGAAGGGAUUUCUCCCUUCAGCUGUUGCUACAGGUGUGAUUGUCCCACAGCAUAGCAAAUGCCAUCUCAGUUUUAGUGCAUCAUCUGUGAGCUGUCUGGCCCAUAUUAUUUUUUCUCUUUUUGUUGUCAGUUAUUGACUGGAGAGAUGAAGGAUGACACAUGCUAAAGUGCAUCAGUUAUCUCAAUUUCCUUCCCCUUAGGCCUUAGCCAGAAUUUACCAGAACAGUCUACAAAAUGAAGAUGUUUCAGUAUUUUUUUGUUUCAGCUCAUAGGAGUUUUCUUCUGAAGACUAACAGAAGGACUGGAGCACAGUGAGUUAUUAUUACAACUUCUUAUUAAAAAACAAACAAAAAAAAGACAAAAGAAAUUGCUGUAAGGUAACAAGUAAUAUAGCCCAACUUGUGCAUGCAGUAACUUCUCAGUGCUACAAAAAAAAUCAGGGAUGAUCACAGUCCUGAACACACACUCACAAAGCCAUUCCAGAUUGUAACUGUGAGUACCCAUAGUCAGUUCAACAGGAAAAAGUAAGAUACAGUAUUUUAAGGACAUGACUUUGAUCAUUCUCUAGUUUGAAGCCAGGGAUAAGUGAUAGGUUGCACAUUCCCACCGGGGGAAUAGGCUGGUUACAUUGGAAUGGGUUACCCUUUGCUAUUCAACAUCUCAGCUCCCUAGUUACCAUCUCCAACCUAAGGUGUUUGCCUCAGCACACGGUUGUUUACACAGUGACUUAUCUUACCUUGGUGAGAUAUUUGAUACCCAUGAAACAUCCGUCACACUCUGUCCUACUGCUUUUCUUUAACUCAAGGCAAGGCCCAUCCCUCUUCCAAAACCUUUGACAGCUUUGAAAUAUGGCAGUGUUGCUGUCGGUGUUGCUCAGGAGCCGUGCAGUGGUUGCUUUCUCCAAAGGCUCUGCAGCACCUCAGUAUUUCCUUCCCCCUCUUUGAAUAGAGGUGGCAAAAUCCAUAAUUUGUUUCCAUUCUGCUUGGCUGAAAAUGAGGAAAAAUUCAGCACUCUGUCAUGGAGAGAGUUAAGUGAAGACUCAAUAUGUUACAAUGAAGGCCUCUGCACCAGGAGUAGCCCAUAAUAGGUGGUGGCAAUGUCACAGCUCAACUAGUUUUUUAAUACAGCUCUUUUUUUUCUUC